rnacentral:rRNA from 1 species
GACGAACGCUGGCGGCGUGCCUAAUACAUGCAAGUAGAACGCUGAAGGAGGAGCUUGCUUCUCUGGAUGAGUUGCGAACGGGUGAGUAACGCGUAGGUAACCUGCCUGGUAGCGGGGGAUAACUAUUGGAAACGAUAGCUAAUACCGCAUAAGAGUAGAUGUUGCAUGACAUUUGCUUAAAAGGUGCAAUUGCAUCACUACCAGAUGGACCUGCGUUGUAUUAGCUAGUUGGUGGGGUAACGGCUCACCAAGGCGACGAUACAUAGCCGACCUGAGAGGGUGAUCGGCCACACUGGGACUGAGACACGGCCCAGACUCCUACGGGGGGCAGCAGUAGGGAAUCUUCGGCAAUGGACGGAAGUCUGACCGAGCAACGCCGCGUGAGUGAAGAAGGUUUUCGGAUCGUAAAGCUCUGUUGUAAGAGAAGAACGAGUGUGAGAGUGGAAAGUUCACACUGUGACGGUAUCUUACCAGAAAGAGACGGCUAACUACGUG